CACAGACAUACAAACACAUAUCAGUGACCUUGACCUAACUUGACCUGAAAUGGCCUCAGCCAGCCAAAACCUAGUCGGAUAGUGUAACAAAGAGGUUCUUGCUGGCUUGGCACCACAAUACGUCAGCGUCAUCGGUAUAUGAUAAGCAGCGCACUUGAUAUCCAACGGUGACCCCAAACAGCAACAUUUUUUGUUUGACCUGACCUGGAAGGUCACUGACUGACCUGAGAAGGUAAAACUGUGUAUCAUUGGAUUCGUCUCUUCCCAAAAAAAUCUUUUUAGUCUUUACCGCGAAGCUCUAUCUCCAGCAGGAACGAAAUGGCGCGGGGGUGGCAACCCCCCCCCCCCCCCAUGUGCGUUCUAGGAUGGGAAAGUGGCAUGUGCGGGCGAGGGUUAAAUUGCGUAGUUGAAUUCACAUGCUGAACGAACUUCAUCAUCGGAACUUGUAGAUCGUAUAACAAAAUGUGACCCGGGUUGCAAUGUACAGUACAUUCUAGGUAUGUCAAGGCGUUAGUGUGACUGGUUAGUCAAUCUGGUUGUGAAUUUAUCGUUGGUGGGUCCAGUGAAUAAUUAUCAGCUUGUUUACUUUGUGUCUCUUGUUCUGGUGUAAUUGCCUGCAUUAUCUCUAAGUCAUUCGUUCCAUAGAUAUUUUAUCUACAUGAAGAUGCCCAUCCAAUGUCGAAACACUUUAUUUUCUGCCGUCUGACUGCUUUACACUCGUGAUCGAUGGUAUCAGCAUUCUCCUUGGUAGAAAACGAGUAAAAUGAGAUGUUCAAAGGUCAUCGACCAUCACUGUCGUCAAAAUAUUUCAGUAAAGUCGUACCCUAUUUCGUUUUCGGAAACCUCCUUCGGGGAAAUAAAUCCAAAGUAAAGCUAAAUUUGUCAGUUAAAAGUCGUGAAAUCAAGCUCGCACGAUGUUUCAGCUCACAUUCCCUAACUUGAAUUCCUCCAAUGAAACGGCAGGAUAAUAAGCGUCAGGGCAUCUCUAUGUAUAUAAGACCUCUAUGAUCCGUUCUACAUGAAUGGAAAGAUGUGUUCUGGAACAAACGUUGAUAUUAUAUCUCUUGAUUCACAGGCAUGCACAUUGACCCAGCAGUGGUGCAAGAAUGCGAAUGGCAAGCUCUGCACUGAUUCCUCCGUUUUUAGCAUUAGUGUUUCGCGUAACUUUCCGUUAAACGGACGGGGCCGCCGCCGGCCCCGGCCGCCGCCGUGCGAGUCGGCCGCCGCGCCGCUACGGACGACUGGCACACGCCACAAGUGUGAUGGAUUUUCGGCCAACGCGGCGACACCGGCGUAGCGUUCAAUUGGCCGCGCUGCCCUGACGCUCCGGUGACGGACAGGUGGACCGAGGGCGCCGCCCGCCCAUCCCUCCGGACCAGGCCAGGCCGGCCGAUCUGAGGGAGGUAGGGAGGAGCCGCGUGGCUGGCCGAAUGGACGGCCGCGCCGGGCCAUUGUCACUGAUUGUUGGCCAUUGUCACUGAUUGUUCAUUGCCGCACCGAGGUCCGGCGAUGUCACCGGAAUGCCGCCACUGGUUUGAGUUUCCGCGAAACCGGCUUGCCCAGAGAUGUUUGUCACUGGCAUUGCUAUGUGCUAUUUGUGAUGUUCAUAUAUACCAUUCCCGUUACGGAGUACAUAUCUUGUUUUGAACGUUAAGUUCCGAUAUACGAACUGGCCGUCUGAAAAAGAGCCGCACGUGCACGAUGCUUGUAGAUAUUCCUGACGACCACGAACCGACCACGAAUCAGAACUGCGCCUCUCGUAAUGGGAGUGCGAGUAGUUGUUGCGAGUUAGAGCUCCUUGGCGAGUGGCUGACUCUGAACUGACUGACUAAACACCGGUUAGCUGUUUCACCAGCAGUCCCAGUGGAGGGAAGUAGGCCCAGGCGAGCAGGGUGUCGCAGCGUAAGUCCGACGAUGGCGGCGCAGUAGUCGAAUGGCGUCCACAUUUAGCCGACGAAGGCUGCGCUGAGCGCCAUACCCGCCUCACCUUAUCUCCGAGUCACGUGUUCAUGACUGACACGGGCAACCAUACGGCCCGUCGUUGCCCACGCGCACCCCAGACGGGGCCGCCAGUCGCGGCCCCGGACACGUCAGUCCCCAGAUCUGCAGUGAUGUCGCCCGGCUCUGACGAUGGCGCACAGCCGCCGUGUCCGCGGUCUCCGUCGCCGCCGCGGUAUGCGGCGCUGGGCGGCGACUCGUACAUGUCGCGGUCUCGCCAUUGGGGGCCGAACGAUUCGCGGCUCCCGCCGACCCCGCCGGCGACGAGUUUCCUCCGGCGAGUCCUGCGCCGUCUGGCGUGGUCGACGCUGCCCGGGAGGUUCCUGGCUGGCAAGCUGCUGCUGUGUCUACCGACGCACAGAGUUUUGUCGUGGCUGUGCUGUCCGCGGCCGUGCUCCACGGUUGCGACGUCUGCGGCCAAGCUGCCCGCUGCUGAGCUCCGCGGCCGAGCUGCCAGCGGCCGUGCUCUGCGGCCGUGCUCUGCGGUCGUGCUCUGCGGCCGUGCUUCCCGUGGCUGGGCCCUCCGUGGUCCCGUGAUCGUGGCCGCGGCGAGGGUGCCGCGACCUGCGCGAUGCCGUGCGCUGCAGUGAUGGCGCCGCGCACUGUGCAGUGAUUUUGCCGAGCGCUGCGUACGCGGUGGGUGCCGCGCGCCGCGCUGUUGAGCGUGCCGUAUUCGGACGGUGGCUGCCGCGCGCAGCGUGGUGAUUGCUGCGCUCUGCCAUGAGUGCCGCUCACUGCCGUGGCCUGAGUGCCGCGCUCGGACGGAGUGCCACGCGCCGUUGUGUUGCGUCGCCUUCUGCCUUUUGAUAUGUGCUAUCUCCGAAUUUAAUGUUGCUUGUUGCCGAUGUUCGCUUCUUUUCGUUAAGAGGGUCGGGUAUAGUCGGUCGAUUUAUUCGCACCGUUUGAUUUCGUACCGGCUUCUCUUCUGUUUCUUAUUGUUUUCUGCGAUGUCACUUGUCCGAUUUUAUAUCUGAUUAAUUCACGUCACUUAAGUAUUUAUUUUAUAUUGUCAUAAUAACUUACGGCGCUGUUCCUUUAUUUUCUGUUUAGUUGCAGCCCUAGUACCUUAAUUUCCGAUGUCUCUUCGGUUUGUUGUCGCUCGCAUGUUCAGAGAGUCCUGGUUGGCCGGCGCGAGCGGCGGUUGUGGAAUACAAGCUCGUCUGUGAA
rnacentral:lncRNA from 1 species